AGACGAUCAGUAAUAAUGUAAGAGGGAUAGACCGGGUAGUGGUGGUGUUGGUGGUUUCGCUCGCUCGCUCCAUCUCGGAAAAUACCAUGUAAAACUCCAAAACAGCUUAAAGUAAGUACAAAUUAAUAAAUUUUUAUUUUUUUAUUGAAUCACUUCUUUUCAUUAUUUAUUGAAAUCAUUUAAUGAAAAUUCUUCAUAAAAAAAUCAUACAAUGUUAAAAAGUCAUAUGGGGUUUACAGAAAAGAGAAUAUUGAAAAAACUGCAGUAUAUAAAGAAAUUAAAACUAAAAAGACCAAAACAGACUAAAAAUAACAGACUAUUAUGUUAUUUGAAUAUAAAGAAUAGGGUAAAAUGAACAAAACAGAUUAAGUUUAGAGAGAAAUGUUAUAAAAAUUAAGAAAAAAGAAGUGUAGGACCCCACCCAGACCCUCAUAUAUAGAUCGUUUAACUUAAUUUUGACAAGCGAUUUAUAUAUCAUCAAGUACUGUUUUUCAUUAUCAUAAAAGUUUUGUAUUAAAUUAUGUUUGUAGGGAUUUUCGAAUUAUGUAAUGCCGAAAUUUUAUACCGUUAUAUUUGUUAAAUACACUACAAGCUUACAUUUCUUUUUUAACUAUCUUUUUCUGUCUGAUGCAACAUGUUUUAGGAACACGCAGUAUAAAAGUACUGCUCAAUUGAAUAUGUUUUUUUUUUCUAUUUUCUUUUCAUGGGUAUUGCUAAUUUGCAUUUGAUUAUAUUCUUUACCUUGAUGGGAUCAUAUUGCUACUGCUAUGCACUCAAACAAGAGAGAAUACAUUCCAAUUAAUCAAACUUUCUUAGAAUCGAUAGCGCAUGUAUUUUGAGCAUGUUAUGUACAAACAUUGCAAGUAUAAGACCCGCUAUCUAACUCAUUUACAGAUUCUUAUACCACAUAACUUCCAAAAUGAAGAUACUUUACGGAAAUGUAUGCAUCAUUAUGAGGAUAAACUUUCUAUUUGAGGAGAGUAAUGUCUAUCCUGACAGAAAGUAACAAAGUAUUAUUUUAAAACACCAUGUAUUCUUAAAAUAAUUACAUAUUAAAUAACAUUAUACCACAAACUACAAUGUUACCCGGGAUGUUUGUGCUUCUUCUGGUUUGCUAUGUGGUAUGGGUUGUGCUCAUUGUUGAAGGCCGUACGGUGAUCUCUAGCUGUUGACUUCUACGUCAUUUGGUCUAGAAAGGUUUUCUCGUGAGUUUUCUCAAUGACAGUCGUGCCACAUGUUCUUAUUUUUAUGUUUGACCAUUUAGGACGUUCUAUAGUUGAACGUCAAUUCAGAUUUUGGAAACAUUGGUAUAUUUUAAACCAACCAUAUAAAUCCAUAGAAUUUUUUACAAUACAUGAAGUUGUCCACCUGUCGUUUUAUUUUUAAUCUGAGUGAUUUAUUUAUUUAUUUUUUAAUUUUGGUGGUGGUGGGGGGGGGGGGUACAUUAACUGUUGUUGGAUGAAAUUUAUGUGUGUAGAAAACAGAAUAACGUUUAAGUUUGUCACUUGCUUUCAUAUAUAUCCUAUUAGCUGUCAAAAAGCAUUUACUUGAGUUAUAAUUAACAAACUCGCGCUUUCUUACAAAAUUAAACAAAUUGUGAAAACGUCAAACUACAAAAUAAAGACUAAAACGGCAAAACAUCAAAACUUAGAAUAGCACAAAAACAAUUAAAAGUCAUAAAGAGAAUAUAGUACCAAUAUUAUAAGUAUAAACAAGAAGAUGUGGUAUGAUUGCCAAUGAGACAACUAUCCAUAAAAGACCAAAAUGACACUGACAUUACCAGUUAUAGGUCACCGUACGGCCUUCAACAAUGAGCAAAGCCCAUACCGCAUAGUCAGCUAUAAUAGGCCCCGAUAAGACAAUGUAAAACAAUUCAAACGAGAAAACUUUGCUCAUUGUUGAAAGCCGUACGGUGACCUAUAGUUGUUCAUGUCUGUGUCAUUUUGGUCUUUUGUGGAUAGUUUUCUCAUUGGCAAUCAUACCACAUCUUCUUUUUUAUAGUUAUUUAUAUCUUUAAUAUUAACUAUAAUCCCUGAAACAACAAUGAUUGAUAGUUCAGUUCUCGUAGGUUUUGCAAUUUUCAUACCACAGAGUAACAAAUCGUCUAGGUUUGGAUCUCCUUUUUUUAUACCACGGGGUACCAGUUUACAGAUAGAAAUGUUGGAUUAAAUGUUAUUUGCCUAAUGUUCAGUGGCAAAUACUACGAGAGUGAGUACUGCAAAAUCUAUCGACCUGCAGUGGCGGAACCUACAUGGAAGUCGAUCAAAUCUAACAAAAAAUAAACGUCUAAAAUUGAGUCAAACUAGCCCAGGAAAAAGAAAUUAUAAUGUUAUACGUAUAAACAUUCUACAUAUAAUUAAUGCCCCCACAUUGUCCCACAGAGUCAUAAAACAUAAAUAUUCACAUGUUCAUUUAAAUUAUUUACAGAUACGGAACUUAACAACAUGACAGAUUAAGACUGCUUCCCUGUUCAUUAGACAGAAUAAAAUGGUAUUGCUUCAGUUACAACAGAACCUUUCGACAUCGUUUAUGGUAUAUCCGAUCCAAAUGAAUCUGUUAUACCAUAUUACAACAGCACACUAAGGAGUAAAAUACCAACAUACCACUAAGGAGCAAAAUACCAACAGAAAGCUAAGGAGCAAAAUACAAACAGAACACUAAGGAAAAAAAUACCAACAGAGCAUAAAGGAGCAAAAUACCAACAGAGCAUAAAGGAGCAAAAUACCAACGGAAAACUAAAGAGAAAAAUACCAACAGAACACUAAGAAGCAAAAUACCAACCAUCUGAAUACCACCCAUGGUUAUGUUAAAAAAAAAACACUAUAAAAACCUAUAUAAUAUAUUAUUGUGUCAAGUACAUGUAUCUGUCAUAAGUUAGUUAUUAUUUUUAACAAAACUAAAAAAAAUAUUCUAAUAUACGAUAGUUUAAGGCUGGUAGUAGUGGAGAUAUUUAUGUAUUAGUGUGUUUAUGUGUCUAUGUGUGUGUGUACGUUUGCGUGUGUUGUCAAAAAUCUUACCACUUUAGAGCUGUAAGUGUGUAAUAAGCUGCGUGAUUGUGUUGAUCGUAUGUUAGAAUUGUUUUGAAAUUUUUUUCAAGACGCCAAAGGCCAAAAUGUGCAAUACUGUUGUAUAUAAUAUUUUUUGUAUAAUUUAUUUUAAUACAAUUAUUUUAUAGGUGUUUAUAAAUGUCUUAACGUAGUGAUGCAGUGACAAAUUCAGGGCCGUAGAGGGAAUACGCCCCACUUUGAAUUUUUAAAAAAAUGCGCAUAAAAUCGUCAAACAUAUUUUCACCAUUAACUGGCAUUUACGUCUCCGUUUUCCUCGAACCUUAUUUUUAUAACUUAUAUACAGUGAAGCUAUCUGUCAAUUAUAGUUAUGGUGUCUCUCUCUUAUAAAACAAUUUCUCCGUAUUUUAACCUAAAUUUUUAAAUGUGUUUUAAGGUUAAGAAUAACAGUUUAUAAGAUGCUUCCGAUGCGCUUUCCUGGAUUUACGUUCGGGAACUCUCUAACCCAAAAUUUCGAAAGCCAAGGAUUUUUACACAAAUGUAGACUUUAAACUCAAAUUAUUAUAAAUUACGUGCAUGUAUGUUCUCAAAAUGUUUUUUGUUUGUCUUACCCAGAUAAUAUGGGUUUUAUCAAAGCUGAAUUGUGAUAUAUUUAUAGAUGUAGUUUUAGUUUUGCACUUUGCUAGAAAAUUGUACAUAGUUUUGAAACACUUAACAUUGCACUUGCUUUGUAGAAUUAGUAAUGAUUAUUCCAGCGUGCCAAAUACAAGUACAUAAAGCUAUAUAUAUUAAUAUGCUGGCAUAAAUGGUUGAUUUACGUCAAAACAACGCAAUUACAACCAAUUUGCCUUCUGUGAUAUGUAAACACAAUAUGCACACUAAGUACCUUUAAAAUACUCAUUUUAACAUUGCAUGUGUUUGUAUAUAACGCAUGAAAGGGAGCGAGCUAGGAACAAAGGGAGACCUAUAGAGAGAGAUAGCGAAAAAGAGAGAGAGAGAGAGUAUAUUAUGUUUGUGUGCACAUGUGUUUGUAUGUGAUUAAGUGAGAGACAAAACAUUGUUUUAUGGUCAGGCAGGAUCAUCCUUUCGUGUUAAUCAGUUUCUAAGAUAUUUUUCUGUAAACUUAAAAUAUAUGACCGUUUGCAUGGGUUCUUCGUUUCUUUAUUCAUCCAAGUGUAUUAUCAUUUUGCUCUAUUUUGAAUAGUUCAGCACCCAAUUAUUCUUUAUUCUUUUUUUAACCUGUUUUCUUCUCUAUUCUUUUUUUUUUGGAGGGGAGGCGGGAGAAUAACCCAAUCCAAUUUAUUGUAUGUAUCAAUUUAUUGUCACG
rnacentral:lncRNA from 1 species